rnacentral:sRNA from 14 species
UGAAUUCCUUCAUCGGCAAGGGCUGCCGCCUUAGUGUUCCACACACUGCAACGUUGACAGGUAGUGCACUUCGCGAGAAAAUAUUUUAAUCGGCUGUUUACGGUACACUGUUACAGGCUAUUGUCAUGUUACAAGCUAUUGCAAUAAAUCUGUACCAAACAAGAGCUGUUUUUUAUUUUAAAUUUAUUUAAAAUACAAUGAAAUUUGUAUGGAAAUGACAUCUAUCCAUGGAAGAAUAAGUUCUGGAUAAAUUAUCAGUGUUGCUUAUAUAGAACAUGUCGUCAGGAUUGCCAUGAUAUGUUUUUCACAGAUUAGUGUGGAAAUACCUCCACUGUAAAUAAUAAAAUAAGAUUAAAAUCAAUUUUUUAUACAAUUGCGUGCACAAAUCUUAAUAAAUGUUAUUUAACUGCUAUGCCCACACAUGUUUUGCAAAUUUUAAGCAUAUAUUUUGCAAACAAUUGCGCUUUCUCCUUGUAUUGUUUUGACAGGUUAGCAAAUGGCGUUACAAUCUCAUGGCAAAUAAACAGACUUGCACUUGAAACAUUUUUACGUUUUAUUUUUGUCUUUCCUAUCCAGUACUAAACUAAAACACACCAAAUAACGAUUAUGAAAGAAUGUGUUUUGCUUUUGGUUGUUAGAUUACAUUAUUUUGAUACAAGUGCAGGAUGCACUGAUAGGGGAGGUCAUGCGAACUGCUGAGUGCAAUGUUUUUAUUUUGCAGUAAAUCGAUUUAAAACAAACUGGGCAAAAUAUUAUACUUUUUAGUUUGCAAUUAAAUCCGAAAACAGUUUUUCAUGAAAAAAAGCUUUCACCGGUCCACCGAAAAUAUGAUUUUUUUUAAAGCCGACAGUCGGAUAAAGGAAAAACCCGGAUAAUAGGUUUCUGCAAACCGGUUUCGAUCAAUUGUUGUUGUACCAGUGUAUUGUGCACCGAGGCGGCAGCCCUUGCUGAUGAAGGAUUCCAUCGGGUCAAUCCGGUACGUACAACCGACUGCCAUGAUAUUGCACUUUGUUAUCCGUUAUUAAAACAUAUUUAGUUUUUUCUUCUUUCACAAGUAUUUUAAUGGCCUGUUUAGUGUAUUCAGUAGCUACUUAUUUUUUUUAUUUGUAGUUAUUGUUGUAGCAGUCUAUUGUGCACCGAGGCGGCAGCCCUAGUCGAUGAAGGAUUCCAUCAGGUCAAUCCGGUACGUACAGCCGGCUGCCAUGAUAUUGCACUUUGUAAUCCGUUAUUAAAACAUAUUUAGUUUUUUCUUCUUUCAGAAGUAUAUUAAUGGCCUGUUUAAUGUAUUCAGUAGCUACUUAUUUUUUUUAUUUGUAGUUAUUGUUGUAGCAGUCUAUUGUGCACUGAGGCGGCAGCCCUUGCCGAUGAAGGAUUCCAUCAGGUCAAUCCGGUACGUACAACCGGCUGCCAUGAUAUUGCACUUUGUUUAUUAUCCGUCACUAAAACAUAGUUUUUUCUUCUUUAAGAAGUAUUUUAAUGGCCUGUUUUUUUAAAUAAUUAACUGAUUUCAUAUAAUGUAUUCAGUAACUAUUUAUUUUUUAUUAUAUUUUUUAAAUUUGUUAAGUAUACUAGCUGAUGGGGAGUUUCUUCAUACGGGGAGCAAAAUAUUAGUUUCCCUUUACCGCUUAUUGGGCCUUGUUUAUUUUAAAAUUCGGCUUUUAAUUCAUACGAAAUAAUGCCUCAAAUUUGCGAUGUAUUUAAUAUUAAGUGAAGCUUUUAGAAAUAUUUUUUGCGAAUAUAUACUCGCGUGUUUAAGUAAGAAUGAAACCCGCGUUAAAAUUGAA